rnacentral:rRNA from 1 species
UACGUAGGGUGCAAGCGUUAAUCGGAAUUACUGGGCGUAAAGCGUGCGCAGGCGGUUGUGCAAGACCGAUGUGAAAUCCCCGGGCUUAACCUGGGAAUGGCAUUGGUGACUGCACGGCUAGAGUGUGUCGGAGGGGGGUAGAAUUCCACGUGUAGCAGUGAAAUGCGUAGAGAUGUGGAGGAAUACCGAUGGCGAAGGCAGCCCCCUGGGAUAACACUGACGCUCAUGCACGAAAGCGUGGGGAGCAAACAGG